rnacentral:tRNA from 1 species
CCAGAAAAGAGAGAUUCUAA